rnacentral:rRNA from 1 species
GGCGCACGGGUGAGUAACACGUAGGUAAUCUACCUUUGAGUGGGGAAUAACGUUCGGAAACGAACGCUAAUACCGCAUAAUGCAGCGGCACCGCAAGGUGACAGUUGUUAAAGGAGCAAUCCGCUUAAAGAGGAGCCUGCGGCAGAUUAGCUAGUUGGUAAGGUAAUGGCUUACCAAGGCUACGAUCUGUAACCGACCUGAGAGGGUGGUCGGUCACACUGACACUGAAUAACGGGUCAGACUCCUACGGGAGGCAGCAGUCGGGAAUUUUGGGCAAUGGGCGAAAGCCUGACCCAGCAACGCCGCGUGAAGGAUGAAGUAUUUCGGUAUGUAAACUUCGAAAGAAUGGGAAGAAUCAAUGACGGUACCAUUUAUAAGGUCCGGCUAACUACGUGCCAGCAGCCGCGGUAAUACGUAGGGACCAAGCGUUGUUCGGAUUUACUGGGCGUAAAGGGCGCGUAGGCGGCGUGUUAAGUCAGCUGUGAAAUCUCCGAGCUUAACUCGGAACGGUCAGCUGAUACUGAUGUGCUAGAGUGCAGAAGGGGCAAUCGGAAUUCUUGGUGUAGCGGUGAAAUGCGUAGAUAUCAAGAGGAACACCUGAGGUGAAGACGGGUUGCUGGGCUGACACUGACGCUGAGGCGCGAAAGCUAGGGUAGCAAACGGGAUUAGAUACCCCGGUAGUCCUAGCCCUAAACGAUGAAUACUUGGUGUCUGGAGUAAUUUAAUUCUCCGGGUGCCGUCGCUAACGUUUUAAGUAUUCCGCCUGGGGAGUACGCACGCAAGUGUGAAACUCAAAGGAAUUGACGGGGACCCGCACAAG